AUGAACGCUGGCGGCGUGUCUAAGGCAUGCAAGUCGAAAGUCGGUAGCAAUACCGGCUUGGCAAACGGGUGAGUAACACAUUGGUAACCUACCCUCCGCAGGAGCAUAACCCCGCGAAAGCAGGGACAAUACUCCGUACGUCCCGAUUUUAUAUGAGAUCGGGAGAAAGAUUUAUCGGCGGAGGAGGGGCCUAUGGCCUAUCAGCUAGUUGGUAAGGUAACGGCUUACCAAGGCUACGACGGGUAGCGGGUGUGAGAGCAUGACCCGCCUCAUGGGGACUGAGACACUGCCCCGACUCCUACGGGAGGCUGCAGUUAAGAAUCUUCCGCAAUGGCCGAAAGGCUGACGGAGCGACGCCGCGUGGAGGAAGAAGCUCUUCGGAGCGUAAACUCCUUUUAUAAGGGACGAAUUAUUGACGGUACCUUAUGAAUAAGGGGCUGCUAACCUCGU
rnacentral:rRNA from 1 species